UGUGGCAGCCCAAAGUAGGUGGAUGAAUCUGGCUGAUAACUUAGCAACACUCACUCUCACAAAGGAAGACUGCCAAUGGACGAGCAAGUAUGAGCAAGAGCUGGGAUUCUGUCUCUGGACAAGAGGCAGGUUCAGGCAGCGUGGGGGCCAAGCUCUCUCAGGAACCAUUCUUUUAACUGCCUCACCAAUAACAUGUGUCUCCCACACCUGAGAGGCUCUCCUUCCAGGUGUACCCAGUUCUCCAUGACUGCUGGACGGCUACAGGCAGCACCCAAAUGAGGGGCUUGGACACAGGGAGACCAACUGAGGGUCGCUGUCUUCAGUGGAACUCCACAAAAAAUGGAAUAAAGAACAGUGGGAAGGGGUAAUUCACUCGCCUCCAGGAGUGGCCCAGGAGGAGAGAGGCUACCUGAGGAGGAGAAGGAAACACAAAAGGUACCCACUGCAGACUGGGAGAAAGAGGAUGCCAUCGGUGCUGGGACCUGUAAUACAGCAUGGUGGGACUGGCUCCAGGCCCAUAAGCAAUGGGCAAGAGAGUUAGACGUGAAGCCACAGAGCUAUUUGGGUUCAUCCUUCAUUGCCCCUUUCGGCUUCUGCUGCUGCUGCAUGAUCUCUAAGGCCCUCUGCUUGCAAGCAGCUGCAGUUUCCCUUGAGUCCCUCCGCUUCUUCACAUUCUUGGAGAAGGGAGGUUCAGUAGGGGGAAGGUUGGUUACCAUUGGUUACUGACGGCAGUGGCUCCAACUUGCCUCAGAUGAGCUCCCUCAUUUGGGCUUGUGUUCAUACUUUUAAGGCCCUCUUUGAUCUCCCUGUUGCCGAGAUGCCGCUGUGGAUGCUGAUGUUGUCCACGAACUAGAACGUCAGAGUUUUCAGGCUCUGCAGCGAAGACUGAUGUCCUGUCCCCAUCUUGACGCUCAUCCUCUCUUGGGAUGAACAGUUUCUAUUCUGCCAUCUUACCUGGAGGACAUCUAUAUAGACUUUGAAGCUGGACCACUGGUGAGAUAAUCUGACAGCCACCAUCACAGAGAUAGGGCAGAGAAGAGUUCCUGAGUCUCGUUCACUUGAGCUUUGGCAUAAGAGAACGUCACCCAGGGUGCUUGUCACCAGACAGAAUAGCAGAAGGGUUGUGUGGGCUGCAGCUUUUGUAAUCACCAAAAGUGAGUUAGCCCCCUACCGCCAACUCUCUCCCACUUCCAGUUCCUAGGAGAUAUCAAUGGCUUAUCAAGGAAGUGACCUGUUAGGACGGCCAGGAGCCACCGGGACCCAAGCUUUCCUCGUGUGCUUGUGGGAUAUAUCUGGUAGGCACAGGAACUCAUGGGUCUUUGCUGGCACCAAGACAACUCUUGAACAUUGAGGUCCGCCCCAGACCCUGUUCUUAUGGGUAUUGUUUGCUCGAGUGCGGAUACAGGUCUGGUCCUUUGAGACAUUGCUUAUUACUUCUGACUUCUUAGAAUUU